rnacentral:lncRNA from 1 species
CUGCAAGGCCCUUGCUGGUCAUUAACUCCUUACAAAGUAUUUCUGUCAUCACCAGCUAUGCUCUUAUGUGAACUCUGGGAAGGGGGAGGUCCUGGCACUGAUCUCUAAGCUUUUAAAUAAACAUUCCCAGUUAUUUGAAGAGAUCCUGAAAAUUAUUCUGAAAAAUCAUUUCCUUCCUCUGAAGUAGAUAUUGCCAUUUACGGAGCCUAUAUUACGUUUUUGUGCUUUCUUGCAGGUUUUUGGCAGUAUCCAGUGUUGCUAAGGAUGAUUUAAUUCCUACUACCGGUCCUAUUCCCAGAGGCAGCUUCUCCAAGGUGGCUCCUGACACAGGAAAUGGUAACUGCUACAGGUAAA